GACGGGGGAUGCAAGUGUUAUCCGGAAUCACUGGGCGUAAAGCGUCUGCAGGUGGUUUCCUAAGUCCACUGUUAAACCUUGAGGCUCAACCUCAAAUCUGCAUUGGAAACUAGGAGACUUGAGUAUAGUAGGGGUAGAGGGAAUUUCCAGUGGAGCGGUGAAAUGCGUAGAUAUUGGGAAGAACACCGGUGGCGAAGGCGGCCAACUGGACCACAACUGACGCUGAGGCGCGAAAGCGUGGGGAGCAAACAGG
rnacentral:rRNA from 1 species